rnacentral:misc_RNA from 1 species
GAUGAAGAACGUAGCGAAAUGCGAUAAGUAAUGUGAAUUGCAGAAUUCAGUGAAUCAUCGAAUCUUUGAACGCACAUUGCGCCCAUUAGUAUUCUAAUGGGCAUGCCUGUUCGAGCGUCAUUUCAACCCUCAAGCCUUAGUUGCUUGGUGUUGGGAGCUUAUCCUGCCGGAAGGCGGGACAACUCCUUAAAUUUAUUGGCGGAGUCGCGGUGACCCCAAGCGCAGUAAUUCUUUUUUUCUCGCUUUAGGUGUUAUCGCUGGCUUCUAGCCAUUAAACCCCCCCUAUUUUUUAAUGGUUGACCUCGGAUCAGGUAGGACUACCCGCUGAACUUAAGCAUAUCAAUAAGCGGAGGA